CAGGACUUCAGACCACUUAAGAACAAUGGUCACAGAAAGAGACCAGGUGUUAGAGCUUAAGAAGGAGCCUUGUGCAUCUUGCUAAGGAAACUUCAGUCUCUGUGCUAGUAUUACUCUGGCAAUGGGCUGACUGCUGAAGGAACUUGACCGCAGUUUCAGCAGUGUCCUUAGAACGUAACAGGAUGAGGCAAACAAGGCUGUUAUUUCUGGACACAGUAAUCCUUCAGCAAUACAAUUACCAAGUUAUUCAACAUGGAAGGCUUUGCCAAGACAGUGGUGGCUGGGAUUUGACCCUCUAAGUGUGAGCACAUCACUUCAGCCCCAGGGUUGGAUUAAUUAAGGCCUGCAUGCACACUCCUCCUCCCAUCCUGAGAAUGAUGGUAAAGGUCACAGCUACUAAAACCACAAAGGCCUCAAUGACAUCCUAUUUCAGUGUUAGAAUUCCAAGAAGGCUUUUGUUAAAAUAAACAUCAAGAGAUUUUAAAUAAACU
rnacentral:lncRNA from 10 species